rnacentral:RNase_P_RNA from 1 species
CGGGGCAGGUAAGCGGCCGCUCUUUUGCGUUAUUUGACGUAAAGGGGAGGAAAGUCCGGACUUCAUAAAAAGGGUAGCGGCUAAUGACCGCCGAGAGCAAUCUUAGGGAAAGUGCCACAGAGACAAUACUAUCUGCGUUUACGUGGAGAAAGGUGAAAAGUAGUUUGGUGUCCUUUAUUGGGCUACAAGCUUCGACCGCCGGUAACGGCGUGUUCGUGGUAAACCCUGCCUGAAGCAAGAGCAAAGCCGCGUGGCCCGUAAGGGCUUUACGCGGUAAAAAGUAGCUCGCUUGACUUAAUUGGUAACAAUUAAGCUAGAUAAAUGGCCGCUCACGACAGAAUCCGGCUUAUCGCCUACCCCUAUUA